rnacentral:rRNA from 1 species
AACGUGCCCAGUCGUGGGGGAUAACGCAGCGAAAGCUGUGCUAAUACCGCAUACGAUCUCUGGAUGAAAGCGGGGGACUCAGCAAUGAGCCUCGCGCGAUUGGAGCGGCCGAUAUCAGAUUAGCUAGUUGGUGGGGUAAAAGCCCACCAAGGCGACGAUCUGUAGCUGGUCUGAGAGGACGACCAGCCACACUGGAACUGAGACACGGUCCAGACUCCUACGGGAGGCAGCAGUGGGGAAUUUUGGACAAUGGGCGCAAGCCUGAUCCAGCAAUGCCGCGUGCAGGAUGAAGGCCUUCGGGUUGUAAACUGCUUUUGUACGGAACGAAACGGUUCUCUUUAAUAAAGGGGGCUAAUGACGGUACCGUAAGAAUAAGCACCGGCUAACUACGUGCCAGCAGCCGCGGUAAUACGUAGGGUGCGAGCGUUAAUCGGAAUUACUGGGCGUAAAGCGUGCGCAGGCGGUUAUAUAAGACAGAUGUGAAAUCCCCGGGCUCAACCUGGGACCUGCAUUUGUGACUGUAUAGCUAGAGUACGGUAGAGGGGGAUGGAAUUCCGCGUGUAGCAGUGAAAUGCGUAGAUAUGCGGAGGAACACCGAUGGCGAAGGCAAUCCCCUGGACCUGUACUGAC